GGACAUAUUGUGGGUUGCUCCUCAGCAGGCUUUUGCUGAGGAUUGGAGGUUUGAAUUAUUUUAAGUGAUUUUAAUUUAAUUAUUAGUUUUUCAUUUUCGGGGAUUUAUUUAUUUAUUUAUUUAUUUUAUCAAUCUGAUCAGCUGGGCUGCGGUUUCAGCGGCCGCCUUUAGAGAGUGUGCCUCACCGCGGGGGGACUUUUUGGCGGUGGUUUCAGCCACGGGGUGCCGACGGCUUGGUGUUGGACACAGGGGAGCCCCAGGGACAUUCGGGGGGUCUCCCCUUGGAUCAUCGCACUGGUGGGAGACAGCCAGGGGUCCCGAGGCAAUUUUUUAAAAGUUAAGUCUUUUAAAAAGUUAAAGCUGUGUUUCAGCUUGUCGCGGAGCUAUUACAGCAGCGCGAAGCUGCAGGGUUCCCAGGAAAAGCCUAAGCUGCAACGGGCCACCUCUCUCCCUCUGGACAACAGGAAGUAUGGGAGAGGGUGGCAGAUUUAGUCCCACGGCAGGUUCUGCGCGCAGAUAAAUUUUGCACCAAUUGAAGAGCUGUUUUUGGGGGCAGCCGGGCUCGGUGGCCAUUUCGGAUAUUAUUGUGGUUCUGGCUGUUUUUGGGGGUCCGGUUUCGGCCUCUCAGCCAUCAGUGGAGCAUUUGGAAAAAUUAACCAGCUCCUAAGGCCAAAAAGCAGCCGGGUCAGGCUACUGCGGCCUGGAAUUACUCUAGCAUUUAACACAGAUUUUUACAGCAUUGUUUCAGAACAUUUUGCUGGUUCCUGCAACUGAUUGGGGAUUUUACCCUCUAUCAACUCCAAAAAGCAGCUGAUCCCGGCUGGCUGGAGUAGAAGGCGGACAGUGGAAGCAGAUCUUUGCUGUGAGUUGGCUGGCGAUUUCGCGGUCACAUUACAUUAUCAGCAAUUCACAUAUUAUUCCCUAUGGCGUUGGGGGGAGCCUUCCCACUCUCAGGGGAUCUCUGGCAGCACUUUCAGUCGUUCUCAAUAUAGUACCAGAAGGGUUAGCAAGUGCCCUUCCAAGGCACAAGAGAAGGCAGAGAAGAGGCUUCAGGAAGUCUUAGAGAGACAAAUACAAAGGCGCCUAAAAGCGGCGGAUAAGAGAAAACAUAUAUCUGUACAGGCGGUGGUUCACCAGGAAAUGGCCUCAGCAGACAGGUCAUUGUCACCUGCCCCUUCAGCAGUAGAUCACCAGACAGGAGACUUGUCACCAGCCCAUGGAGAGGGCGAGCAGACAGGGUCGGUUGAGCCUAUUCCUCCCCCAGCAAUGGUAACAGCUGCACCGGUAGUCAGUGAGGCAGCAACCACGGAUACAGAGAUGUCGCAGAUGGUGCAGCAAUGGAUUGCUGCGGUGGUACAAAGGGGUUUUAAAGCAGGGAGGCAGCUCAACAGGAAGGCCUCUAAAAGGACGGAAGAGGCAUCCAGACAAAAGGCUCAGGUGGUCGCUCAGGUGGUUAGACAGGAGGAGUUAACUUCUGAUUCAUCAGGGGCAGAUUCUGGUUCUGGUUCCGAAGAAUCCCGCUCGACGGAAGAGGGAGAGUGGGAACAGGAGUUGUCAGAUGAGGAAGGAGAGUUGUCAGACCAACCUGUGUUUAAAGGGUUGUUUUGCCCUCAUCUUUUUAAGCCCCUCCUACUUCCACUAAACAGGGGGCACUGUCAGUACCCACCGACAGGGACGCUAUGCAGGAUCCAGCUGAGCUUCUGUUUUCAGAACCGGCCGUGGAGGCAGAGACCAUUCCUGCUCCACAAUUGGUUUUGGAUGUUAUCCAAAAACAGUGGGACUUUUUAGGCGCUCUUCAGAAUCUGACAUCCCAUGAUCGAUGAUUUUAUAAUCCGUCACCAACCCUGGCAGAGCUACUUAAGGUUCCGAAGGUGGAUGAACCAGUGUUAGCCUUAUCAUUGUCAUCAGCCACGUUGGCGGAACCAGAAGAGGUGCUGAAGCCAGACGACCGUAAGUUGGAGUUGGCUCUCAAACGGGCACACGAGGCAGCUGCCUGAGGGAUCAAGGUGGCUAUGGCCGCUUCCUUUUUCACCAGAGCCUCGCUACUGUGGCUUAAGCAGAUGCAGGAUAAGGUUCCAGCGACGGAGAUGAGGGUCCACCAGGACUUCAAUAAGAUUGUGGCAGCAGCAGAAUACACCGCUGACGCCAUCUUGGCCUCUGCCAAAUUUGGGGCAAGGGCCAUAGCUUCCACAGUCAUGACCAGAUGACUUCUGUGGCUAAAAACUUGGCAGGCUGACAUAAAACGCAGGUGGAGGCUGUCCUCAGUUUCCUUUAAGGGUUCUAAGUUAUUUGGAGCAGCAUUAGAUCCUUUGUUGUCUGAGCCAAAAGACAAGAAGGUUUUGCCUGCGAUAGGACGUAGGAUGGAGACAUGGAUGUAUACAUCCUUUAAAAGGCCUUAUUUUCAUUCCUAUGGGGGAUCUGGAGGUUUUAGAAACCAGAGAACUGGGUUUCAAGGCCAGUCGGGGCAGGCAGGUCAGUUUUCCCAUUCAGGAUCAGGGUUCCAAGACAGGAAUAGGUAUAGGGCUCAACCCAAGCAUCCUUUCCAAGGAGGAAACAAUCGUUCCUUUCAUUGGAACUGCUGACUACAGGGAAGAGGCUACCAUUGGUGGCCGGUUAGGCCUGUUUGCGGGCCAAUGGGAGGCCAUGACCACCAACGCUUGGGUAAGGAAGACCAUUUCAUCAGGUCUCUCUCUGGAAUUCUUUGCAGUACCUCCGAAGGUUUUUAUACGCUGUCCUGUGUCUCGGGACACAGCAAAGCGAGAGCUCAUGGACACCGUUAUUAACCAUUUGGCAGAUACAAGAGCAGUGGAGCCCAUCCCACAAUCAGAGCAGGGAGACAGGUAUUACUCAAUGCUAUUUGUUAUUCAAAAGCCCUCGGGUGGACUGCGACCAAUUCUGAACCUAAAAGGUCUAAACAGGUUUUUGAGGUAUCAGAGGUUCAAGAUGCACUCUCUCCGAUCAGUUCUGCAGAAUGUUCAGAGGGGGGACUUCUUGACCUCCAUCAAUCUCAUGGAAGCUUAACUUCACGUCCUGAUUCAUCAAGAGCACCGACAGUAUCUGAGGUUCUGUUACAAUGGACAGCAUCUACAGUACCAAGCCCUACCUUUUGGUCUGGCGUCAACUCCCAGAGUCUUCACGAAGAUCUUAGCUGCACUGGGGGCUUCCCUACGGACCAGGCCCAUUCGCCUUCAGGCUUACCUGGAUGAUAUUUUGGUGCAGUCCACGUCCAGGGAGGCAGCGACAGAAGAUCUCAGGGUGACUAUCCAAUGCCUAGAAGCUCAUGGCUUUUCCAUAAAUCUCAAGAAAAGUCAUUUCUCACCAUCAAACUGUCUAUUACAUCUGGGGGCCAUCAUAGACACACUCAGUUGUCAGGUGUUCCUAUCUCCAGAGAGACUAGACAAUAUCAGGAUCCUGAUCGAUCAGAUGAGGCCAGCCAGACGGGUGUCACUAGCACAGCUUUUGACUCUGUUGGGCAAGACGAUUUCUUGCAUAGGGAUUGUCCCUUGGGCCAGGUUUCACGCCGGACCCCUGCAGUGGUUCAUGGUGCCAUUUCAGAAGUCAGGGCGAGCCACUUCCAGGGCCAAGGUCAGGAUUCCGGGUCCAGUCAGGUCAUCACUCCGCUGGUGGAAGUCAAGGCAGAUGUCCAGGGGCUGUCUAUUUGUAGACUAAGAGUGGAUAAGAGUGACUACAGAUGCCAGUCUCUUAGGCUGGGGGGUUCAUUGCCUGACUCAAGUAGCCCAAGGGAGCUGGUCCAGGUCAGAGACAAGAAGAAGCAUAAAUUGGCUGGAACUGAGAGCAGCCUGGCUGGCGCUCAUAAGGUUCAAGCAUCUCCUCAAGCACCGGCAUGUGUUGCUCAUGACCGACAAUACCACAGUCAAGGCCCAUAUCAACAGACAAGGGGGGACGAGGUCCAGGAGUCUGAUGGCAGAGACGACAGUUCUUUGUCACUGGGCAGAGCACAAUCUAGCUUCCCUCAGAGCAGAGCAUAUAGCAGGGACGGACAAUGUUAGGGCAGAUUGGCUAAGCAGGGCACUCAAAGACAACUCGGAGUGGCGUCUGCUACCAGAACUGUUCGAGGAGAUUGCGACAAGAUUCGGUUGGCCGAUGCUCAACCUUUUUGCAUCGUCCAGGAACAGUCAGCUGCCCCAGUUUUUCUCCCUAUUUCCAGACCAGGGAGCAGAGGGAGUCGAUGUCCUUCAUUGCAGGUGGCCACAGGGUCUCUAGUAUGCCUUUCUACCUCUUCCUCUAUUGUCACAAGUGCUGAGCAGAAUUGUGCAGUUCAGAGUGGAAGUGAUUUUUAUUGCUCCCCACUGGCCCAGGCGCCUGUGGUUCACGGAUCUGAUGAAUUUGUCCAGGGCACCACCAUGGAGGAUACCAUCAGACAGGGUUGCUCUCAGCCAGGGACCGAUCCUGCAUCCAGAGCCUUAGUGGCUACAGUUGACCGCUUGGCGAUUGAGCGGAAGCUUCUGGAAGGGAGGAACUUCUCCUCAGCAGUGAUCGAGACUUUGCAAGCAGCCAGACGUCCAUCCAUGAGGCGUAUUUAUGACUCUACCUGGCGUACAUUCAGUAGGUGGUGUUCAGACUGGAGAAUCAGACUAGAAUUAAGAUACCACAACUCUUGGAAUUUUUACAAGCAGGGUUAGAGAGGGACUCCCCCCCAGCUACCCUGCAUAGACAAGUUGCAGCUAUUGCAUCAGUAUUAGCUGUGGGAAACAGGCUCUCAGUGACACAAGAUCUAGAGGUAAGGCUUUUCCUAAAGUGGGGGGGGGGACUAAUUUAUGGCCAGCACUAGUUCACCGAUAUCCCACCUGGGACCUUCAAAAAGUUUUGCAGGCCCUCACCAGGGAACCAUUUGAGCCUCUCAGGACAGUGAGUCUGCGUUUCCUGACUUAUAAGACAGUUUUUCUAGUGGCCAUUACAUCGGCCAGAAGGAUAUCUGAACUGGCCGCACUUUCGGUGCAAUAAAAUUUGUGCAUUUUCCAUUCAAACCGGGUGGUUUUAAGGUUAGACCCAGCCUUUAUGCCAAAGAUAAAUUCCUAGUUCCACAAGGCUCAGGAAUUAGUGCUUCUGGAUUUCUGCCCUGCUCCCUCACAUGACAGAGAACGGGUCUGGCACAAACUGGAUGUACGAUGGGCCUUAAGAAUAUAUAUAAAACGGACCCGGGCAUUCAGAUGCAUGGAGGCUCUUUUUGUCUCAUAUUUACCAACUGCAGUGGGACAAAAACUUAGUGCUUCAGCGAUGGGCAGAUUACUACGUGCUACGAUUGCUCAUGCCUACGAGGCGCAGUCAUUACCAUGUCCCAGAGCGGUGACGGCUCAUUCAACUAGGAGUGCGGCCACAACAGCGGCCUGGGAGACACAGGCAUCAGUCGAGGAACUCUGCAGAGCAGUGACGUGGUCGACUCCGUCACCUUUCAUCCAUCAUUAUCGUCUCGACACUUACGCCUCAGCGGAGGCUGCAUUUGGUCAUCGGGUACUACAACAGGUAUUGGAGAUGCCGGCCGGAGGUGACCAGACGAUGUCUCACCCAUAAGGACUGUCAGCUUUGGUGCGGUAGUGGCAUAGUAUCCUCUGACCUUGAGGGACGUCGUUGAAACUGGGAGAGUCAGCAGAAGGGGCGUGGUGUCUCUUCAACCUCAACCCGGUCCAUAGAGCUACAGGACAGAGUACUACCCAUGGCUGGAGUCACUUCUCCUCCUCAGAAAAUGGGUGUAUUAGGUUGGCAAACUGGUUUUGGCUUUGCUGCUUGCCAAGCCUGUUUACUCAUUCUUUGGACUCAAGGCGAAAUUAUGCAUCUUCCUCCAAUUUUGCUCCAUAAUAGCAACCCUGAGAGUAAAGAGGUUUGUCUUGAACUGCAGUGACACCCAAUUGCCUUCCAGCCAGUGGUGGGAUUCAAAUAAUUUAACAACUGGUUCUCUGCCCUCAUGAUUUCUUCCAACAACCAGUUCACCAAACUGCUCAGAAAGUUAACAACCAGUUUUCCCGAAGUGGCGUGAACUGGCUGAAUCCCACCAUUGCGUCCAGCCCUGUAAUUCACAUCAGAAGCUCUAGAGUAACACAUGUUAACACUCAAGUCCAUGAGAAAUGGGGGUUGCAUUGCUACCCUCUUUUUAUCACUUGUGAGACUUGCAAAGUGGAGGGACAAAGUUCAUGCUUGCUGAGUCAAAAUUUUACCUCAUAUGGCAGGAAACCAGAACUAAAGCCACAAACAUCCAGAACUGUCACUGAUCCAAUUGCAAAGAGAGUUAGGAAAUGGGAGCUAUCUAUACAAGAGGAGUGAACCAUAGCCAAAAAAUGAAAGAGAAGAGGGGGCAUAAAAACAGUAUUUUUCAAUUCCCCCUCUCCCUCUUUGUAUUUUAGUUUUGCCUAUAGAUCCAAAGAUGUCUUUUGCAUUUGCUAAGACUGGCCAGUGAAGAUUAGAAAAGUAUUUACCGAUCUUAUAAGAUUAGUUGGAUCAUACCCCUUGCUACACCCCAAAUCUUUAGAAUCGAACUGCAACAUCAAUGUACAAUACCUGGACAAAUAAAUCGUAUUGUGACUCAAGGCAAUGGCCUGGUUCAUACAUCAUUUCAGGCAACAGCUCAGAUGCCACAAUAUUCUCAUUUUCAGCCUAGAGUGGUAGGUGAACUUAAACAUUUAUAUUUAUGAAGAGAUUAUGGAUAUGGAGCAGUAUUUACAUGAUAGCCUUCCUGCAGUUGUAGCCAAACAUGAUACAAACAUUAUAGAACAUCGUGGUAUGGAAAAUUUAAGAAUCAGAAGUUAUGCCUUAAGUGUUAGUAAGGAUUAACAGGUAUAUCUGAUCUCAGGGUGGAUUUGAUUGAAAUCAACUCGAUUUAAAUCAUAAUUUUUAAUGAGCAACUGUCAUCUCUGUCCAACAGCAGCUCCUCCAACCUGUUGUUGACUCACUGACAGUCCCAUUCACUUUAAUGGGACGGCUGGUGAUGCGGCAGUGACACAACAAGGUGAGGGACAUGGCAGGUAGCAGGUGAAUGGAUGCCAGCUAACAGGCACAGCUAUGAUGGAUCUGAAAAGACAGGUGCUCUUUAAAUGUAACGACUCAUUCUUGCUGGUAUUAGAAUCUUUUAUAUUAUUAUUUGCAAACAAAAUGAAGGUUUCCUAUUUAGCUUGCAGAGCUUGGAUUCAUUGAAUGAGUUUACCAAAAAUAUAAAUAUUGCAGAAUAUACAGCCUCAUGCUACAUUACUAAGCUCCAUUUCCUGCUGAAUAAACUAAAUUAUCAAUGUAUAUUAAAUAGAAAACUAAAUUUUUUAACUCCAAAAGCAUUUUAUUAAAAUAAAUUUGAUAAAAAUAAAAAAAAUCUGAUUUAAAUUUUUAAAAAUCCAAUUUUUAUUUUUAUUUUUAAAAAACAUCGAUUUUUAUUUACACUGUCUGAUCUUUAUUUGAGGGGAGGAACCUUCUAAAUUCAUCCCACC